rnacentral:rRNA from 1 species
AGUGAACGCUGGCGGUAGGCCUAACACAUGCAAGUCGAACGGCAGCACAGUAAGCGCUUGCUCUUACGGGUGGCGAGUGGCGGACGGGUGAGGAAUACAUCGGCAUCUACUUUUUCGUGGGGGAUAACGUAGGGAAACUUACGCUAAUACCGCAUACGAUCUACGGGUGAAAGCAGGGGAUCUUCGGACCUUGCGCGAUUGAAUGAGCCGAUGUCGGAUUAGCUAGUUGGCGGGGUAAAGGCCCACCAAGGCGACGAUCCGUAGCUGGUCUGAGAGGAUGAUCAGCCACACUGGAACUGAGACACGGUCCAGACUCCUACGGGAGGCAGCAGUGGGGAAUAUUGGACAAUGGGCGCAAGCCUGAUCCAGCCAUACCGCGUGGGUGAAGAAGGCCUUCGGGUUGUAAAGCCCUUUUGUUGGGAAAGAAAAGCAGCAGGUUAAUACCCCGCUGUUCUGACGGUACCCAAAGAAUAAGCACCGGCUAACUUCGUG